AAGGUCGUAACAAGGUUUCCGUAGGUGAACCUGCGGAAGGAUCAUUAGAGAUGUGCGCAAGCACUUUUGCCCUUCAUACACCUGUGCACCGUGGUCUCCGGACCUACAAAGCAUGAAGUCACGAACCGUAUCAUAUCAUAACAAAAUUAAAAG
rnacentral:misc_RNA from 1 species